ensembl:miRNA MIR6755 microRNA 6755
UGUUUUAGGGUAGACACUGACAACGUUAUGUGUGGUCUUUAACCUGUUGUCAUGUUUUUUCCCUAG